ACUAGCAAAGGAGUCGUUUCAUACCGUGCUCCUCUGAGCUGUCUAUGCUUCUCUAUGUUUGUAUACGCUGGGAGCCAGCAUGCACCUGUGUGUUUGAGCCCUCACUGGUCUCUCUCAUUCCAACUGGUUGUUUAUCAAAGCUGUCAUGCUAGCAGCUCGUACAGCAAUCAGCAGGAGAGAAGCAGAACUGGACUUGGUGGACUGAAAAUAACAAAAACUCAGAGCAAAAUAAUUGUGUUUGGAGAGUUUCUGCCUCCAUCUUGAGACAAAAGAAUUCUAAGGAACAAACUUGCCAAGCUGGAAUGAAGGACUGACAACAAGAAGACUUGUGUUGAAAAGGGUGGCUGUAUGACCUUCUAUAGUGCAUAGAAAGCAGAAACCUUGUUCCCACCGGUUUCUUGAUUUAUUCUGAAGCAACGGCCUAGUCUGGUCCUCAAGCCUGACUCCAUCUGAUUCCAGAGGAUGUCUGACCAUCUGCCCUGCUGCUUUCUUUUUCCUUCACCGAUCUCUCUCUUUCCAUUUUUUCUGGCCAUAUCCUCCACUCCUCUGUUCCUCUGCUAGGCUGACCGGCACAGACAUGCAGAGAGGACUGCGGCAGCCUCCGCCACCACAGUCAGCAGGUUGCUGUACAUCUUCAGAAACAGAGAAACAGUCUUACCUGUGAAGGGGUGAGAACCACAGACAGGAUGACACCAUCAUCCUCCUCCACAGCAUCAGGUGACGGCACAAACACGGGCUC